GAAUAUAUAUACGGUGUAGUUCCUAAGGAAGGUUUACAAAAUUUUAACACUGUAAAAAAUUUUUACCACUAUGUGGGAAUAGUCGAUGCUGCAUCUUGCCACAAAGAGGGAACCACCUUACACGUGGGGAGACGAUUGGGCCUUUGGGAAAUGGGAAUAUAUGCUGCAAUGCAAAGAUGAUGACCCCAUGCAACAUAUAUACCAUCAUCUGGUCUUGUUUUAGCGCUGCGUUUUCUUUUUAGAUCCUGGGCUGUGGCUGUUGCUAUCAGCCUCAUUAACACACAUGCCCGCAUACAAGUAUACGACGACGAUUUCUGUAAUUAGUCUGUGGAUUAUAUCAAAG
rnacentral:lncRNA from 1 species